GACGAACGCUGGCGGCGUGCUUAACACAUGCAAGUCGAACGGAAAGGCCCUGCUUUUGUGGGGUGCUCGAGUGGCGAACGGGUGAGUAACACGUGAGUAACCUGCCCUUGACUUUGGGAUAACUUCAGGAAACUGGGGCUAAUACCGGAUAGGAGCUCCUGCUGCAUGGUGGGGGUUGGAAAGUUUCGGCGGUUGGGGAUGGACUCGCGGCUUAUCAGCUUGUUGGUGGGGUAGUGGCUUACCAAGGCUUUGACGGGUAGCCGGCCUGAGAGGGUGACCGGCCACAUUGGGAUGGGGAAACGGCCAGGACUCCUACGGGAGGCAGCGGUGGGGAAUAUUGCACAAUGGGCGGAGGCCGGAUGCAGCAACGCCGGGUGCGGAUGACGGCCUUCGGGUUGUAAACCGCUUUCGCCUGUGACGAAGCGUGAGUGACGGUAAUGGGUAAAGAAGCACCGGCUAACUACGUG
rnacentral:rRNA from 1 species